UGCGAUAAGUAAUGUGAAUUGCAGAAUUCAGUGAAUCAUCGAAUCUUUGAACGCACCUUGCGCUCCAUGGUAUUCCGUGGAGCAUGCCUGUUUGAGUGUCAUGAAUACUUCAACCCUCCUCUUUCUUAAUGAUUGAAGAGGUGUUUGGUUUCUGAGCGCUGCUGGCCUUUAGGGUCUAGCUCGUUCGUAAUGCAUUAGCAUCCGCAAUCGAACUUCGGAUUGACUUGGCGUAAUAGACUAUUCGCUGAGGAAUUCUAGUCUUCGGACUAGAGCCGGGUUGGGUUAAAGGAAGCUUCUAAUCAGAAUGUCUACAUUUUAAGAUUAGAUCUCAAAUCAGGUAGGACUACCCGCUGAACUUAAGCAUAUC
rnacentral:rRNA from 1 species